GUGAAGAUCAGAUGAGCCUGGCUCUUCAUUGAAAGACUGGCCACUGGAACCUAAUUACACCCCAUUUUCCCCUCAGAGAAGACUGUUCCAGAGACGGCCCCCAUGGCUCAGGAAGGUCCCAGCACAGCAGACACUCGCAGGGGCAUUCAUCAGUGUAACUCCCAGGGAUGCAUCUGCUGCAAGCAUAUAUUAAAGGGAUCUGAUCUAUUUCAGAGUGCAGCUACAGGAAAUCAAUAUGAAAUCACACAAUACCUGACCUGUAAGACACCAGUGUCAUCUACGUCAUCCAGUGUAAAGUAUGCAAGGUGCAAUAUGUUGGGAAGACCUCAACCACACUGCAAAGAAGAUUCAAAGACCACAGAGGUUCCAUCAGAAAACAUGAAAAGCGGCCAAUCCCUGAUCAUUUCACCAAGAAUGGCCAUUGUCUUGAUGAUCUGAUUAUCUAUCCAAUUGAGGAGGUCACUGGUUCCAAAGAAUUAAGUGAGAGGGAACUGCACUGGAUCAGAGAGCUUGACACAGUUGAAAAUGGACUAAAUCUGGGGCCAUAUGAAUGUGUAAGACAGCAGAGCCAAGAUGAUGGAGACAAAAGACCAGUGGAACCAACUGAGGGACAAGUGGAAGCUCCUCAGAAAGGUAAAAGAAAGCUCCGUGGGAAUGAAGAUGUGAAAUCAAAGAAAAGGAAGAUGAAAA